GGGCCCGUAGCUCAUCAGGAUAGAGCGAUCGGCUACGAACUGAUAGGUAGAGGGUUCGAAUCCUUCCGGGCCCGCCA
rnacentral:tRNA from 1 species